rnacentral:lncRNA from 10 species
CACUUGUCACACAUCACCUUUAACUUUGCAACAGUUAAGUCAGAGGAUGCCUAGUGUGGGCUGAAUAGAUGAAUGAGUGGUGCCUCAGCUGGGUUCCAGUGGCAGAUGCUGAGAUCCUGAGUCACCUGCCAGAGGACAUCACCUGCCACACGGAGGACAUCAGUGGACAGUUCCCUCAGGCCUUUCCAUUGGAUGAUAUGAGAAGAGCAUGAGCUCCAGAAGCCAUUUCCAGGAGCUGAAGGAGGUCAGAACCCUGACCACAGAUGCCGCCUGGUGCUCUCAGCCACAAGACCAAGACAGCCUCCGGGGACCCCAUCCCUCAAGCAAGAAGUCAAAUGCAAAGUUCUCCUGUUUGCUUCUGGAAUGCCUGCUUCAUUCUCAACAAAGUCCCCUCAUUAUUAAAAAAUGCUGGACACCAGCUCGCUUCAGGAACUAAUACUCUUUCUUUCAUGACCAACACAAAGAAAGAGCCUAUCUUCCAGUGUCUCUCUCAGAAGUGCUGGGAAGCUGCCCCUCCCUACUCUCCCAAACAUCUCUUCUUGCCUCAUGGCCUUGGUUGGUCCACUCACCCAUCCCUGAACCACCCAAACCAAUGCAAUGUGCUGAUUGGCUAAAGCCAACCUGGUCUCAUCCCAGGAAUAGGGUGGCUUGGCUUCGUAAAAGCCACCUCAGCUGGUAUGGAAAAGAGGUGGUUGCUAGAGUGGAUGCCAGGCACUGCAACCAAGGUUGGGGAGAAGGGGUUCAAAAUACAGUGCCCACAGUGAGGUUGCCCUAAGGAUAAGAUACAUGAGACUGCCCCGCUGGUGUGGUGUGUGUGUUUAAGUGUGUGCUGUAUGAGAGGAGAGAGAGGGAGAGAGAGACAGAGGGAGAGGGGGAAUGUUAGUUCCUCUCCUUGGACAUGCUGAUUACUUUCUUUC